rnacentral:lncRNA from 1 species
GCACGAUGCACAUUGCUGGGAAAAGAACCUUGGUGUGGAAAUAGCAGUGUGGGUUGAAAUGAAAGCGUUAAAUAUGGAUGGAACUUUAAAAGCACGGUCCCUAGUUUCCUGGUGUGGCCACAGAAGCGAACGCUUCCUUAGUUUUACUUUAAAACAAGAGGAGUUGCUAAGUCUUCCCAAAAGUUCCCAAGAGUUGAAAGCUGACAAUGAGGUCAAAGAAAGUCGUGGUUUCUCUCAUACAAUCAUUGAAGUUUUGAGGAAGCGGCAACAGCCAUUUCUAAAGACUGUCUACGCGAUCACUUUGUGGGGUUGUUUUCAAGUAAUUAUCUUUCCUUUUCUAGCUACGACUUCUCUCAAACUUGUGUGCUGAGGAGACUCGAUGUGGGCCUCAGCUCCUAGGCUGAAAUCAGCAG